rnacentral:lncRNA from 1 species
GCAGGAUGCAGACUUCUCUUCUGACUCACCUCAACUGCCCGUCGCGUGGGGCACCUUCAAGAACGACAUAAACGAGAGCGGAUGGGCGUUCCUUCAAAUCGAGACCAAUGAACGUGCGAAGGAUGAAGUCCAAGCAUAUGCAGCAGGGGCCCUGGAGGCGUACCUCACGCGGCAACUGAUCGAGAACCACUGGACCAACAUGUUCGGAGGGUACUGCGACAGCCAACCCGAGUACUGCCGUGACUUGAAGAAAUUUUUCGACGAGAACAACAAAUACUCCCAACAGCAGCAGCACCUCCGAAGACAUAACGAGUCGUUCUGGAACAUGGUCUAUCUUCAAAUGAAGCAACUGGCGGGUCUCAGCGACGAGUUGGAAAACAAGACCCUAGACUUUUCAAAUGAGGUGACUGAUGCCCCGAGAGCUCAGUA